UGCUAUACUGCAGUCGAACGCUUCUUUUUCCACCGGAGCUUGCUCCACCGGAAAAAGAAGAGUGGCGAACGGGUGAGUAACACGUGGGUAACCUGCCCAUCAGAAGGGGAUAACACUUGGAAACAGGUGCUAAUACCGUAUAACAAUCAAAACCGCAUGGUUUUGAUUUGAAAGGCGCUUUCGGGUGUCGCUGAUGGAUGGACCCGCGGUGCAUUAGCUAGUUGGUGAGGUAACGGCUCACCAAGGCCACGAUGCAUAGCCGACCUGAGAGGGUGAUCGGCCACAUUGGGACUGAGACACGGCCCAAACUCCUACGGGAGGCAGCAGUAGGGAAUCUUCGGCAAUGGACGAAAGUCUGACCGAGCAACGCCGCGUGAGUGAAGAAGGUUUUCGGAUCGUAAAACUCUGUUGUUAGAGAAGAACAAGGAUGAGAGUAACUGUUCAUCCCUUGACGGUAUCUAACCAGAAAGCCACGGCUAACUACGUGCCAGCAGCCGCGGUAAUACGUAGGUGGCAAGCGUUGUCCGGAUUUAUUGGGCGUAAAGCGAGCGCAGGCGGUUUCUUAAGUCUGAUGUGAAAGCCCCCGGCUCAACCGGGGAGGGUCAUUGGAAACUGGGAGACUUGAGUGCAGAAGAGGAGAGUGGAAUUCCAUGUGUAGCGGUGAAAUGCGUAGAUAUAUGGAGGAACACCAGUGGCGAAGGCGGCUCUCUGGUCUGUAACUGACGCUGAGGCUCGAAAGCGUGGGGAGCAAACAGGAUUAGAUACCCUGGUAGUCCACGCCGUAAACGAUGAGUGCUAAGUGUUGGAGGGUUUCCGCCCUUCAGUGCUGCAGCUAACGCAUUAAGCACUCCGCCUGGGGAGUACGACCGCAAGGUUGAAACUCAAAGGAAUUGACGGGGGCCCGCACAAGCGGUGAAGCAUGUGGUUUAAUUCGAAGCAA
rnacentral:rRNA from 1 species